CCGGGGACGGGUUGGUCCAUGACCCACACAGAUCAGACUGGUCUCUAACAUAUGUGGCUCAGUUACAAAUGGGUUGGCCCGUUUAUGUAGUCGGGCAGGGCCGGACCAACCCAUUUGACACCUCUAUUGAGAAGAUAAUUUGUUUCUUCAAGUUAUAAAGUUACAAGGAUACUCGCGUAAAAUUGGAGCUUGUGACACUCUUAACGCUGAGAUGUGGGACGUUGUACUUGGGCAUGAAGCUUGCAUUGAGACAGGGUUUCCACCAUCUUCAAGUGGAAAGCGACUAAAAAAUGUUGGUUGAUAUGAUCAUUGGGACCGUCAACUUCAAGGGUAGAACACCUACUUUGGUGAACCGCAUUCAAGAGCUUUUAAAGUUAAACUGGCAGGUGCAUUUCAAUCAUACAUAGCGGGAGGGGAAUAGAAGUGCGGAUUGACUAGCUAAUUUUAGCUUUUCUCUUGAUUCUUUUCAAAUUAAUGUUAAAAAGCUUCUUCUAGUGGGAUUUCAAGUCUCCUUUUUGAUGAUAUUUCCGGGACUUGGAUGUCUAGAAGUGUUCGUGUAAACUUGGAUUUUGGCCCUCUCUCU
rnacentral:lncRNA from 1 species